rnacentral:rRNA from 1 species
UACGUAGGUGGCAAGCGUUGUCCGGAAUUAUUGGGCGUAAAGCGCGCGCAGGCGGUUCCUUAAGUCUGAUGUGAAAGCCCACGGCUCAACCGUGGAGGGUCAUUGGAAACUGGGGGACUUGAGUGCAGAAGAGGAGAGCGGAAUUCCACGUGUAGCGGUGAAAUGCGUAGAGAUGUGGAGGAACACCAGUGGCGAAGGCGGCUCUCUGGUCUGUAACUGACGCUGAGGCGCGAAAGCGUGGGGAGCAAACAGGAUUAGA